AUUGAACGCUGGCGGCAUGCCUUACACAUGCAAGUCGAACGGCAGCACGGGUGCUUGCUCCUGGUGGCGAGUGGCGAACGGGUGAGUAAUACAUCGGAACAUUGCCUGUAGUUGGGGAUAGCCCGGCGAAAGCCGGAUUAAUACCCCAUACGAUCUACGGAUGACAGCGGGGGGCCUUCGGGCCUCGCGCGGUAGGGUUGGCAGAUGGCUGAUUAGCUAGUUGGUGGGGUGAAGGCCUACCAAGGCGACGAUCAGGAGCUGGUCUGAGAGGACGAUCAGCGACACUGGGACUGAGCCACGGACCAGACUCCUACGGGAGGCAGCAGUGGGGAAUUUUGGACAAUGGGCGAAAGCAUGAUACAGCAAUGGCGAGUGUGUGACGAAGGCCUUGCGGUUGUAAAGCACUUUUGUCCGGAAAGAACUCCUUGGGCCUAAUACGGUCGGGGGAUGACGGUACCGGAAGAAUAAGCACCGGCUAACUACGUG
rnacentral:rRNA from 1 species